AAGCCAAGAACGUGCAAGUGUAAGUGUCAUGACUGUGCGUGCGGUGCUAGUGUAACGUCGUUGUUGUUGUUUUAGUUGCUGCUGCUGGUUCUCGUUGAAACAUGGCGCACAAAUUCAAAUAUCGCGACAAACUUGAUUAUGUGUUGGCAAUACUUAUAUUGUCUUGGAUCUCUGGUGAAUUUGUAGCCGCGCAGACAAGAGAUCCACGUUUCUACUCCAGACCCGGUGUCAACGACUAUAAUUGGCCCAAUCCCGGCGAUCCAGAUUACAGAACUUACACCUUCAACGAUCGUCGCUAUGGUCAUUAUCAGCCGAAUGGCUAUGGUGCAAAUUAUCCGGGCAGAAAUCCGCCGGGACAAUAUCCGCAGGGCAUGCCCAAUGAGGAUCGUUUCCGCUUUGAUCCGAACGAUCCCAAUGCUCGUACACCCUUUCCGGGCAUCUUGGCGGGUUGGCGCGAAGAUCUGCAGGGGAAGCAGCGACGCGAUUCCCUCACACUGGAUCGUGAUGUGUUCGUGACAACCAAUUAUGGCCAGGUGCAGGGCUUUAAGGUCUAUAUGUACGACAAUCCCGAUCCGAAGAGCUUCUACAGACCCUACCAUUCGACGGUGGAUCGUGUGAUGGGCGAAUGUUCGGUAUUUUUGGGCAUCCCCUAUGCCCUGCCGCCCACCUUCGAGGGUCGCUUCAAGCCCCCUCGCCUGCAUCGUGGCUGGCAGCUUCUACAAGCGGUGGACUUUGGACCCGCCUGUCCCCAGCCAGUGCGUUUUACGGGAGCUACUAAGGGCAUUAUGGACAUGGAUGAGGACUGCUUGUACUUGAAUGUGUAUUCGCCGAAGACUGGCGCUGGUGUUGCUCAAAAAUAUCCAGUCAUGGUCUACAUACACGGCGGAGAGUUCAUUCGUGGCGCCUCGAACCUGUUCCAGGGACACAUCUUGGCCUCCUUCUACGACGUGGUUGUUGUCACACUCAACUAUAGACUGGGCGCUUUGGGUUUUCUCUCCACCAGCGAUGAAAAUUCUCCCGGCAACUAUGGCAUACUGGAUCAGGCUAUGGCUUUGAAGUGGGUGCACGACAACAUAGAGUUCUUCAAUGGAGAUCGUGAUUCCAUUACCCUUUUCGGACCGGGUGCUGGAGGCGCCUCAGCAGGUCUGCUGAUGGUGGCGCCCCAGACGCGUAACAUUGUGAAGCGCGUGAUUGCACAAUCGGGCUCGGCACUGGCCGAUUGGGCUCUGAUACAGGACAAGUAUCGGGCGCAGAAUACCAGUCGAGUGCUGGGCCAACUGCUCGGCUGCUCCAUAGAGUCUUCGUGGAAGCUGGUGAAUUGUUUGCGCACGGGUCGCAGCUUCUACGAGCUGGGCAAUGCCGAGUUCCCACCCCAAGUGGGCACCUUUCCCUGGGGUCCGGUAUUGGAUCAUAACUUUACGCUGCCCGGCGACGAUUGGUACGAGGGCUGGCGGGCCAAAGACUGGCGUUUCCUCACACAAACCCCCGAAACUCUGAUACGCGCUGGCAAAUUCAAUCGCAAUAUACAAUACAUGACUGGAGUUACGACUCAGGAGGCGGCAUUUUUUGUCUCCCAGAACGAAUCGCUGGCACCCUACUACGAACUAGAUUCACGUUUCUUCGAGCAGAAGGUGCGGGAGCACGUUUUCCGCUACAAUUACACGCUCAAUCCGAAUGGCGUGUACGAGGCCAUCAAAUAUAUGUACACCUUUUGGCCAGAUCCGAACAAUAACACCAUCAUUCGGGACCAGUACAUCAAUCUGUUAAGCGAUCUGUAUUAUCGAGCGCCUGUGGAUCAGAUGGUCAAGUUAUUGUUGGAGCAAAAGGUUCCCGUAUAUAUGUACGUACUCAACACAACCGUGGAGGCUUUGAAUUUGCCCCAAUGGCGUAAAUAUCCCCACGAUACGGAGCAUUACUUUUUGACUGGAGCCCCGUUCAUGGACACGGAAUUCUUUCCAAAGAAGGAGCAUUUGCAGCGCAACAUGUGGACGGAUAAUGAUCGCAAUAUGAGUCAUUUCUUCAUGCAAACGUACUCUAAUUUUGCGCGAUAUGGCAAUCCCACGCCCCAGCAGGUGCUUGGCAUGCACUUCCAGCGCGCGUAUCAGGGCGAGAUACGAUAUCUGAACAUUAAUACGACCUACAAUUCGUCCAUUCUACUGAACUAUCGGCAAACGGAGUGCGCCUUCUGGACCCAAUAUCUCCCGACAGUUAUAGGCGUGCUUGUGCCCACAUAUCCACCCACAACGGAGUUCUGGUGGGAGCCGAAGGAGCCACUUCAAAUAGCCUUCUGGAGCAUGUCGGUUGCCUGCUUCUUCCUCAUCGUGCUCGUUGUCAUUUGCUGCAUUAUGUGGCGCAACGCGAAGCGACAAUCGGAUCGCUUCUACGAUGAGGAUGUGUUCAUCAAUGCCGAUGGCACAGAGCUGGAACAGGAUGCCCGUGGCGUGGGCGUCGACAACGCCCAUAUGGUGGCCAAUCAUCAUGCCUUGCGUUCGCGGGACAACAUCUACGAGUAUCGGGACUCGCCAUCGAGCAAGACGCUGGCCAGCAAGGCACACACAGACACCACCUCACUGCGCUCGCCCAGCUCCUUGGCCAAGUCGAGCAGUCAGGCCUCGCUCAAGUCCGGCAUUUCGCUCAAGGAGUCCAAUGGCGGCAGUCUGAUCAAAUCGGAACGUGCCGCCACACCGCGUUCCAUAAGCAAUGGUGGCUCGAUUGCGAUGUCGGGCUCGGGGCCAGCAUCCAAAGCAGUGCCUCUGGAGGAGAAGCGUCUGCUGCAUCCCAUCUCCAGCACGCCCGUCUCCCAGCUGAGCUCAGAGCCGAGCAAACGUAUGCCUGCGUCGACGAAUGCCUCGGUUUCGGGCAGCAGUCGCAGCACUACGCCCGUGCCCUCGGCCCGCACCACAACAACCACCGCGACAUUAUCAUCCGCACCGCAGGUGGUGCACCAAGUGGUGGCACAGCCUGCAGUCCAGCCACGACGCACACAACUGUUAGAGGGGGUGCCCCAGACCUCCGUCUAAGAAACAGCUCUCUAAGCGUAGUCUCCGCGCUUAGAGAGUCUUCCGUGCGAGACGCAAUGCCUGCAAACGAACAACGAAUUAUAGAAGUUCAGUUUCGUAUUUAGUUUAGUAGAUGCUUGGAUCCUGAAAUUUCGACCAACUACUAUAUAUUUUUUUGUAUUCUAACAAAUUUAUAUACUUUUUUUAAUUAUUUUUAUUUAUACUAUAUAAUUAGUUUAUAUACAGAUCUUUAAGAUCUCAGACCCUACAAAAAAUGUGUAUUUAGAAACUUUUAAUUGCUAUAGAAGUUAAGUGCUUAAGUUCGAUAACCCAACGAAUACGAAUCCAUAUCAAUGACAUUCUAUAACAUAGUUGGCCUGCAACAAGUAUAUCCUAUCCAUGGAGCGGCCUAUGUGUGUAUAUAAAUCCUAAAGCUAAGAUUAUUUAAAUACUUAUUUUCUAAUUUUUACUCUAAGCUUUUAUAUCUAAUUGCUUAUUAAUAAUUAUGUAUAGAAGUUAAGUCGAAAUACCCCCACAAUACAAUGCUAUACUUUUGUGUCUUACAUCUUGUUUUUAUAAUUAGACUUACUUUCCGAAACCAUGUCUUUUUUUAUCUUAAAAAACCUAAAAAACAUAAGUAAAUAUCUUAAGCAAAAAUGACAAUUUUGAUAAUGUUAAUAAAUUUAAAAGCCGAGAGCCUUAAACUCAAAGUGAAAUAGUUGGAAAAUAAAUAAGCAAUAUCCUGAAAUA